UUAUGUAAAGCAAGUAACGGUAAUAACGGUCUUACGGAGGAGGUCACGAAGGCCAGGAGGAGGGAGGCCACCACGGAACCCAGGAGCUGGGCGAUGAUGUAGACAAUACCGCGGAGGAAGGUGAUGUUGCCUCCGACGAAGGCGCCGAAGGUGACGGCGGGGUUCACGUGACCUCCGGAGAUGUUGGCGCCGACGGAGACGGCGACAAAAAGGCCGAAUGCGUGGGCGAUGGAGGCGGAGAGGAGUCCGGCAGGUGAGGUGGCGGCGUUGUCAGUGAGCUUGUUGUAG
rnacentral:lncRNA from 1 species